GGAGCCCGCGGAGUGCCUCGGAGACGAUACCGGUCCCUUUACUCUCGGUCGGGGAAGCCGGUCCUGCCACACCUCAGGGCUGGAAACGGCUUUCUAGUUAUCGUUUUUCUGGAGGCUAUAAGAUCCCCAAGCGUGGGAAUCGGAGGGGAGAUAAUAAAACUAGGUGGAGCUUGAGCAGAAGUGAGAAGACGGUGAAGGUCUUUUUAAAAAUUGCAGAGGUUUCAGCUCAUGACUGGAUGGUGGUGAGGGAGAGGAUUAUGGCAGCAGAGCUGUGACAGAAGGCUGAGAAGCAAAUGAAGAUACAAAGAGGCUAGGGACAAGAUUUUCUCCAUGUUCCAUAUUCAUCUGGUUGACAAAGCCAUGUAUUGGGCUGGUGCCCUAAUGACUCACUCACUUACCUGAAGCCCACCUCUGAAUACUGGAGACCAAGCUUCAACGCAUGGGCCUUGGAGGCCCUUUUCACAUCCAAACCAUGACUGAACAAUUACCGCUUCUGAGUUACUAUGUGCUAGGCAGUCAUGUCACUUAAAAAAAAAUCCUGUUUAAGCACUGAUUUUUUUUUUCUUCCAUACAAUUGCACUUCUUUCCUUCCAUGAAACCUAGAGAAAUAUAAAGUCAUAAUGGGAGAAUUGCCAGCCACACUCACACUGUGAGGCUUUAGUGCAGUAUAUACCAGGAAAUGUAUCUACUUGAUCUUUCAAUAUGAAAUUUUUAAAGGUUAAAUUGUAUCAGCACAUCUCUGCCUGUGGGUCUGUGCACAUGAAUGCAGUUGUCUGCUGUGGAGGCAUACGCUGGGUCCAUUGGAGCUACAGUUACAGGCAUGACUGCCUAUGUGGGUGCUGAGGACUAAACUGGGGUUCUCUGCAAGAGCAGUACCAUACUUCGCAGUCUCAAAACUGGGACAGAUGUUGUAAUUUGUAAUCUAAUAUAGGCAUUUAUUAAAAGUUUAUUACACUUUAUGUGUGUGUAGGUCAUAGGACAACUAUCAUGAGUUGGUUCUUUCCAUCAUGUGGAAGUGGGGAUUGUUAGGCUUGGCAGCAAACUCCUUGUAUCUGCUGAGCCAUUUUGCUGGCCCAAGUUUUUAUUUUUAAUAGACCUUUUUAUUAGCUUAUGCUUGCUUCAAACUUGAACCUCCUGCCUCAGCCUCCUGCUUACUGGGAUUGCAGAUGUAUGUCACUGAAUCUGUUAUUUUCUUCCAUCCUCACUAUAUAGCCUACAUCACUUGUGAUCCUCCUACCUUGGUACCCUGAUAGUUAUAGGCACAGGACACCAUGCAUGCUUCAGCUCUCCUGAUGCUGUUUUGUCAGAAUGGAAUCUUUUCCAGAAGACUGUAUUUACGUAUAAAAAUAUAUCCAAACCAGAUGGCUUUUAAGACUGACCUUGACAACAGAGCAUACCAUAUGAGAAGCAAUCAAUAAAUGCUAAUAUCUAAAACUCAAGAAUCCUAAGUUAUAAUUAUAACACAUUAAGACACAAAACAAAAUUACAAAAGGAAAUUUAUUUCAAAAGCAUAAGGGAGCAUUUACAUUUAUUUAAACAAGGGAGACACAGGUGUCCUUGCGGAAGAAAAAGAUUCAUGGCAUGAAGAUUUUCUUUCAGAUUUCUGAAGCAAAAGGAACACUAAGUUAUGAACUACUGACUAGGCAAGGGGAAGGAAGCAAAGGAUGAGGAGGGGUGAAUGCAGUGAGCUCUGCAGUAGACAUGAGGUCAAGUUACUUCUGCCGAGUUUACAAAUGCCCUCAGGCAAAGAGGAAAAGUUACUGUGUUCAAAUUUAUGUUGCUAUAGUCCAAUUCAUUUUUGUACUUGAAAUGGCUUUAGGCCACGCUGAUCUAUCUCUGAGGUCCAUAACUAGAUGGUCACAGGAUUCAGCUGGCAAUCCCAUGUUCCUAUGUCUGUUCAGCUUCCAAGGGAGCCUAGGUUCAGCUCAGGCUUGUGGAAUGUUCAGAGUUUAUUGCCAGCACUCCAUAGGCAAGCUGACCAACUUCUUGUGCUCACUUGUAUCACUCUAGACUUUCAGAAAUAUUUUCGCCAUAAAUACAUGCAGUGAUUCUCACAAAGGAGAUUGUUUUUCCCCCAGUGUAGAAGUGAUGGUGAUGAAGACACCUGUGUAAGAAAUGAAACCUCAAAAAAAACCAAAAAACAUAAAAAACCAAAACAGCAAACCACUAGAAAUGUCAUCUGAAUUUCUGACUUGAAUAGUAAACUUGGAAGAUUAACUG
rnacentral:lncRNA from 1 species